rnacentral:rRNA from 1 species
GGACUACACGGGUAUCUAAUCCCGUUUGCUCCCCUAGCUUUCGCGCCUCAGCGUCAGAAGAGGUCCAGCAGCUCGCUUUCGCCACCGGCGUUCCUUCCAAUAUCAACGCAUUUCACCGCUCCACUGGAAGUUCCAGCUGCCCCUACCUCCCUCCAGCCGAUCAGUAUCCAAGGCCCUUUUCCGGUUGAGCCGAAAGAUUUCACCCCGGACUUGAUCGACCGCCUACGCGCCCUUUAAGCCCAGUGAUUCCGAACAACGUUCGCACGGUUCGUCUUACCGCGGCGGCUGGCAC